UCAAAUUUAUGAGUAUUAAUGAACUUUUGAAUAGGAAACUCUAUUUGCAAAAUUGAUAGGCGCUCCUUGUAGCUCUUGUAAUGGGGAUCCCAACUCUUAAAUUAUUUUUGAAUUUCUACGGUUGAAUUUUGAGGGAUCUUGAUUUUUGUUUUGGGGCUAAGGGAAGUUGUUCUUGAGAAUUUGGAGAAUAAGGAUCAGAU
rnacentral:lncRNA from 1 species